CCUUGCGCAUGUGCCUUCUCCCUUCCCCCUUUUCUCCUCUCCUCAUUUCCUUCUCAUUUUCUUCUCUCCUCAUUUACUUCCAGUUCAACAUCCACACCCACAUCCAAAAGAGUUUUCUCCAAUACCCACUUGGAAAUGCUUCUCCUAUGAAGAGAUUUCUGAUACCACAAAUGCUUUUAGCUCAGAAAAUCUAUUUGGGAAAAGAGGGUAUGCAGAAGUUUAUAGAGGACGGCGGUGCGAUCCAAAUCCAGGAGGAUCCAGGUGCACCCGGCGGAUGCGGCACCGGUCGCGAAGAGGUCCAGCUCCCACGACGACCUUCGGGGCUUCAAGUUCAAGAUGGAGAAAGUCACGAUCUUGAGGCGCGGAGAGUCGCUGGACUCGAUGAUGAAUGAAAAGGGUGGUUUGGCUGGGAUCAGGACUGGGAGGCUACGGCCCAGGCCAGAAAUGGUGCAGAAGACCGACAUGUAUGCCGGAUCAGCGUUCGUGGUGUCGCCGGAGCCGAGCUCGCUCCCGUUGCCGUCAUUUUCGAGGAAGAAGCAGGUGCUGAAGGUCAUCGACGACGACUCAGCGACUCGAGACGACGUACCUGUCUGCCUGUUUGGAUCAUUGUUGAUUUCGACUUUAUUAGAUCUUGAAUCAUUUUUUGGAUUUUGGUUUUCGGUGAUUGAUGUUCUGUCUGGCGAAUGAAUUUUUGAGUAUUUUUCUUGUGAAUGAUCAGAUUGAUGAAUUGAAUAUUGCUUCUUAUUUGGUUUUUUUUAUUUUAAGAAAUCGAAAACCCAGUUUUCUGGUUUUCUGGUAAAUCAAUGAGAGACCCAGUUGCUGAAAUUUGAUGGAUUGAGAAGAUAAUGAUAUAUUUGAUUACCACAUUA